AGAGUUUGAUCAUGGCUCAGGACGAACGCUGGCGGCGUGCUUAACACAUGCAAGUCGAACGGAAAGGCCCUUCGGGGUACUCGAGUGGCGAACGGGUGAGUAACACGUGGGUGAUCUGCCCUGCACUUUGGGAUAAGCCUGGGAAACUGGGUCUAAUACCGAAUAUGACCAUGCGCCUCCUGGUGUGUGGUGGAAAGCUUUUGCGGUGUGGGAUGGGCCCGCGGCCUAUCAGCUUGUUGGUGGGGUAAUGGCCUACCAAGGCGACGACGGGUAGCCGGCCUGAGAGGGUGACCGGCCACACUGGGACUGAGAUACGGCCCAGACUCCUACGGGAGGCAGCAGUGGGGAAUAUUGCACAAUGGGCGCAAGCCUGAUGCAGCGACGCCGCGUGAGGGAUGACGGCCUUCGGGUUGUAAACCUCUUUCAGCACAGACGAAGCGCAAGUGACGGUAUGUGCAGAAGAAGGACCGGCCAACUACGUGCCAGCAGCCGCGGUAAUACGUAGGGUCCGAGCGUUGUCCGGAAUUACUGGGCGUAAAGAGCUCGUAGGUGGUUUGUCGCGUUGUUCGUGAAAACUCACAGCUUAACUGUGGGCGUGCGGGCGAUACGGGCAGACUUGAGUACUGCAGGGGAGACUGGAAUUCCUGGUGUAGCGGUGGAAUGCGCAGAUAUCAAGAGGAACACCGGUGGCGAAGGCGGGUCUCUGGGCAGUAACUGACGCUGAGGAGCGAAAGCGCGGGGAGCGAACAGGAUUAGAUACCCCGGUAGUCC
rnacentral:rRNA from 1 species